ensembl:lncRNA
CACGGAGACUCUUGAGCAGAGACUUCCAGUUUUGGAUGCUUAGCUUCCAGCUGUGCGCUGCAGCCCUGUCAAUAAACAUUCAACCUUGAGAACGAGCGUUCCUUCCCUGCUGAUCUCCUGGGAAGGCUGGAGGUGAUGGAUGUCAGUGGGAGACGCACCACAAUUGCUGGGCUCCUGGAACAGGGAACCGUGAGUGCUUCCCCAUAGCGCGAUGAAAAUCUCUCCUGCCUGAGACCACAGCAACUCGUUACACAUGGGAGCGGUCAGGCUGGUGAACAGUGCCGUGCACACAGCUGGGACAUGGAAGAGCCAUGGUACAAUGCUGUUGACCUCACACCCUCUGUGCCUGCAGAAAACCAUCCCAUUUCUGGGGCUGAGAAGCUCCUAAGCAGCGAGGCGGCCCUAAUAAUUCCACUUAAUCUUCCCCCAUAAAUCACUCCUCCCCUCCCCUGCAGUCUAUUGGCAUCAUCUGAAGCUAUUAGCUAAUUUGAAGCCAGGAGUUCACACGUUGCCUGGUCCCAUCCCGUCUCCCUGCAGCAGUAAGUAUGCACUCCUGGAGGGAGGCUGCCUGAAGUCACCCUCCUCAUCCUCCUCUGGUGGGGAAGAGGUGACAGCACAUCCCCACCAGCCCGGUGGGACAGGGGCAUGGAGCUUUCUGCUCCUCCCUGGUGCCUCAUCCUGGGAUUUACAGCUCCAGUUGAGAUCAGCUGAAACCUGAUGACAACGCCUGACAUGUCUGCAGUGCCCGCGUCCCUGCUGCUCACCCCCACUUCGCUAAUGAGCUUUGCUCAGAGGUGUGCUUUGCUCAAAGCCCCCAACCCCACUGAGCUGCUGGGGAAUGCAGCCAUGCCAAUGGGUCCUCUCCAGCCCUGAGGACGGGUCCUGAUAGGGAGAGCGGGACGCAGCCAUGUCACACCCCGAGGCAGUUAUGAAUGUCAUUCCCCAAUCCACUCAGGAGCCGGCAAUUUUCUGGCCGAGGUGGGAAGCUGCCGACAUCGUAUGAUACACGGCGAGAUUGAUUGUAUUUACUUACCCUUUAACCUAAUAAAGAAAAAUAAUGUUCCUUCA